rnacentral:rRNA from 1 species
UGANNNAANGNAUCGACAUUUUAAGUAACGCUUCUAGCUUAAUCCACAUAACUGAUACUUCGUAUCGACUUUGUGCGCAUUUUGUAUUAUGUGUUCUUUUAAUUAAAAUGAUUCUUUUUAAGGGUUUUCCUCACUUCGGUGUUGAUUCCCUUGUUACUUUGAGUAAAUUAGAGUGUUCAAAGCAAACAGAUAUAGCAUUGCGCGUUUGAAUACUACAGCAUGGAAUAACAAAAUUGAACAAGUCAGAAUUUUGUUCUUUUUUCUUAUUUUGGCUUAGUUACGAUUAAUAGGAGUAGCUUGGGGGCAUUUGUAUUCAGAUGUCAGAGGUGAAAUUCUUAGAUUUUCUGGAGACAAACAACUGCGAAAGCAUUUGCCUAAAAUACUUCCAUUAAUCAAGAACGAAAGUUAAGGGAGUGAAGACGAUCAGAUACCGUCGUAAUCUUAACCAUAAACUAUGCCGACUAGGCUUUGGAUGAAAGAUUUUAAAAUAAGAAUUUUCUCUUCGGAGUUUAUUCUUAGAUUGCUUCCUUCAGUGCCCUAUGAGAAAUCAAAGUCUUUGGGUUCUGGGGCGAGUAUUCGCGCAAGCGAGAAAGUUAAAAGAAUUGACGGAAGGGCACCACCAGGCGUGGAGCUUGCGGCUUAAUUUGACUCAACACGGGAAAACUCACUAGUUUAAGACAAGAGUAGGAUUGACAGAUUAAUAGCUCUUUCUUGAUUUCUUGGAUGGUGAUGCAUGGCCGUUUUUAGUUCGUGAAUAUGAUUUGUCUGGUUAAUUCCGAUAACGAACGAGAUCUUAACCUGCUAAUUAGCGGCAAAUACGAUAUAUUCUUACGUGGGACUGAAUACGGUUGAUUUGCUUACUUUGAAGAAAAUAUUGGGAUACGUAACAGUUUCCCUUUCCCUUUUCUACUUAGUUCGCUUUUCAUACUGUUUCUUUUUCGCGUAAGAAUGUAUUNGCUNGAUUGUAAANNUCUAGANNANC